rnacentral:misc_RNA from 1 species
GAAAUGCGAUAAGUAAUGUGAAUUGCAGAAUUCAGUGAAUCAUCGAAUCUUUGAACGCACCUUGCGCUCCUUGGCAUUCCGAGGAGCAUGCCUGUUUGAGCGUCGUUGAAUUCUCAGGAUCCCACAAAGGCUGUAGUAGACGGGGUAGUCUUACUACUUUUCCCUUCACGUGGGGUUGUGGAUUGUGGAGGAUGCAUUUAUGGGCGGGGCCCCCCUGUUCUGCUUUGCUUCUCUGAAACGCAUUGCCGUUACGGCUGUGGUCACGAACCUGCUGCCGGUAUGAUACACACGUCUUACCUGCAUCUAAUCCGUGCCAGCCAAGGCCAUACGAGACAAAUGUGUGUCUCUGACGAUUUGACCUCAAAUCAGGCAGGACUACCCGCUGAACUUAA